rnacentral:rRNA from 1 species
UACAGAGGUCUCAAGCGUUGUUCGGAUUCAUUGGGCGUAAAGGGCGCGUAGGCGGCGGGGUAAGUCGGGUGUGAAAUCUCAGAGCUCAACUCUGAAACUGCACUCGAUACUGCUCUGCUUGAGGACUGGAGAGGAGACUGGAAUUCACGGUGUAGCAGUGAAAUGCGUAGAUAUCGUGAGGAAGACCAGUGGCGAAUGCGGGUCUCUGGACAGUUCCUGACGCUGAGGCGCGAAGGCCAGGGGAGCAAACGGG